AUAAAGGCUUAGUUGAGUCGAGUCUUCUCUCAAUUAUGAUGACAUGAAAUUAUGUUACCUUUUUUACAUUUAUUUGUCCAUGUAGAUUUUGAAUUAUUAGGUUAUCCUGCAUUUAGGAUCACACCCAUUAUUUGGUUUAUUGUUUUUCAUGCAUGUGGCUUUAAACCUUUGGGGUAGACCAACUUGUGUAGAAGGACUAAUACAAGGAUCAGGCCCACAUAAUAUAUUAUUUCUUAGUUUGGGAAAUCAUCUAACUGCAAGCUACUGGUUACUAUGGCAACAAAUUAAGGCAUUUUAGAUUGCAUGACUUUCUCUUAAGUUCCAUGUUCAUAUGAAUUAUCUUUUUAGCUGCCAGAAUCUUCUUGAAAAGAAAAAAUAGUAAUCUAUCGUAACAACUUGUUGGAAGUCCACUUAAUAUUGCAAAUUGAGAAAGAUGAAAGAGAACACAGCUUUAUCUUUGAAUGGUCCAAUUUCUAACAACCAAAAUAUUGCUUCUGUUGUAAUAUGAUUGCUAAAUAGCAUCUCACACUCUUUAAUUCCUAGUGAAAUUUGAAAGGGAGUUAGUAAUUGUUCUAGUGAGGGAAUGGAAUAUUGAGUCAUCAUCUUUUAGGUUAUAUAGAUUUUAUUUGCACCUUGUCUUAGAUCAAGUUAACUGGCUUUUAUUUGCACCACAUCAAAAUUUUAGCUGGUUCCCAAAAGGAUUGUGGAUCUAGUGAUCUUAUUGGCGUGAAAUUG
rnacentral:misc_RNA from 1 species